rnacentral:miRNA from 1 species
CUUGGCACUGGCGGAAUUAUCA